AAAAAAACCAAACAGGAAUUUAGCCUGUUGCCUUUGGACUUUUAUCCAUUUUUUUCUUAACUCUCACAAGCAGAGUUUGUACUUUUUGUACUUUCCUACAAAUUAGUCUAGACACAACUGGACUUCCUCCACAGGACAGGGCAUUUUAAGGCCAUUUGUGACCAAUCUCCUGUGGGAAGUAAGCUUUCCUUGACCUUGUAGUGAGGGGAACAAGUCUGUCUCACAGAAGUCUGAAUCUCUGGGGAAACCUGCGAAGGCUCCUGUACUGACCCACUCGCCUUCAGGCAAGCAUGAGUCCUGAACGCAUUCUUUCCGGGGUGUUUCUACUGCUCUGUCAGAACUUUUUACCCCCAAAGUGGGUGUGAGUCCCUUUGAGACAGUCUGUUCAAAGAAUUGAGAAAUUUGUAUUGAACUUCCUGUUGUUGCCCCCAAAAUGUGGUUUUUUAGUCAUGUAAAGUAGAUUUCUAAUCAUUGCCUCACUUAGUCAAAUUAUUGUUUUAAUUUUUAUUUAUUUUUAAAUUAAUUUUAUUGGUAUAAUUUAGAUAUAAUGAUCACACUCAUCACAAGAAAUUGGUACCUUCUGCAUAAUAAUUUACAUCUAAGCAGUUUUGAUUCAUUUAAAAAAGUUAGAUAAGAAAUUACCAAAUUUCUUGCUUUGUUCAGUUAUUGAAGAGAGUGUUUGAUCAUGUAAAAUUUGAAAGAAAAGGUGCAGAACUGAAAACUUUGGCAAAGACUGGUAUUGGAUAUCAUCACAGCUCCAUGAGUGCCAAAGAAAAACAGCUAGUUGAAAUUCUCUUUUGAAAAGGAUUCAUUAGGGUGGUGACAGCUACCGGAACACUUGCUUUAGGAAUCAACAUGCCUUGUAGAUCUGUUGUUUUUGCCCAAAACUCAGUCUAUCUGGAUGCUUUAAAUUACAGACAGAUGUCUGGUCGUGCUGGAAGACGGGGGCAAGACCUGCUGGGAGAUGUAUAUUUCUUUGAUAUUCCUCUGCCCAAAGUAGGAAAACUGAUAAAAUCCAAAGUUCCUGAGCUCAAAGGACAGUUCCCUCUCAAGAUAACCCUGAUUCUGCGACUCAUGCUGCUGGCUUCCAAGGCAGAUGACCUAGAGGAUGGCCAGGCAAAGGUAUCAUCCUGGGUGCCACCUGAAGCAGACCUUGGCCACUGGUCUGGCUGCAGGUGGGUCUGCUGGGUUUUUGAUUGUUUGUUUGUUGGUUUGUUUUCCCCUCAGAAAUCUGUACCAAUAACUUUUCAAUUUUAUAGGUCUUUUGAUACUUUUUAGUGUCUUCUAGAAAGGACAAUGGGAAGUAGAG
rnacentral:lncRNA from 1 species